rnacentral:rRNA from 1 species
AUUGAACGCUGGCGGCAGGCCUAACACAUGCAAGUCGAACGGUAACAGGAAGCAGCUUGCUGCUUCGCUGACGAGUGGCGGACGGGUGAGUAAUGUCUGUGAAGCUGCCUGAUGGAGGGGGAUAACUACUGGAAACGGUAGCUAAUACCGCAUAAUGUCGCAAGACCAAAGAGGGGGACCUUCGGGCCUCUUGCCAUCGGCUGUGCCCAGAUGGGAUUAGCUUGUUGGUGGGGUAACGGCUCACCAAGGCGACGAUCCCUAGCUGGUCUGAGAGGAUGACCAGCCACACUGGAACUGAGACACGGUCCAGACUCCUACGGGAGGCAGCAGUGGGGAAUAUUGCACAAUGGGCGCAAGCCUGAUGCAGCCAUGCCGCGUGUAUGAAGAAGGCCUUCGGGUUGUAAAGUACUUUCAGCGGGGAAGAAGGGAGUAAAGUUAAUACCUGUGCUCAUUGACGUUACCCGAAGAAGAAGCACCGGCUAACUCCGUG